rnacentral:rRNA from 1 species
UACGAAGGGGGCUAGCGUUGUCGGAAUUACUGGGCGUAAAGCGCGCGUAGGCGGUGAUCUUUGUCAGAGGUGAAAGCCCGGGGCUCAACUCCGGAAUUGCCUUUGAAACGGGAUCGCUAGAGUCCGAGAGAGGAUGGCGGAAUUCCUGGUGUAGAGGUGAAAUUCGUAGAUAUUAGGAAGAACACCGGUGGCGAAGGCGGCCAUCUGGCUCGGUACUGACGCUCAGGCGCGAAAGCGUGGGGAGCAAACAGG